GUGAAACUCAAACUGAUUGAUAACGGAGACAUCACGACAUGUUUUAUACACAUCAGAGAAGCAUUUCCCCACAGGGACACAGCUCAAGAAGCAGAGUGAAGGGAGGUGUAUUUAUUCUCCACUGGGCUGAGGAGGAGGUGCAGAGCGGAGAGGCAGGUGGAGCAGAGAGCGAGGCCUGCCAGGAGGUGCCUGUGUGGAGGGUACGACCUCUCCUCUUUAUUACUGUGGAGCCG